rnacentral:rRNA from 1 species
GUGACGGUAGGUUGAGAAGAAGCACCGGCUAACUACGUGCCAGCAGCCGCGGUAAUACGUAGGGUGCGAGCGUUGUCCGGAAUUACUGGGCGUAAAGAGCUCGUAGGUGGUUUGUCGCGUCGUUUGUGGAAUACCGCAGCUUAACUGCGGGGUUGCAGGCGAUACGGGCAUAACUUGAGUGCUGUAGGGGAGACUGGAAUUCCUGGUGUAGCGGUGGAAUGCGCAGAUAUCAGGAGGAACACCGAUGGCGAAGGCAGGUCUCUGGGCAGUAACUGACGCUGAGGAGCGAAAGCAUGGGGAGCGAACAGGAUUAGAUACCCUGGUAGUCCAUGCCGUAAACGGUGGGCGCUAGGUGUGAGUCCCUUCCACGGGGUUCGUGCCGUAGCUAACGCAUUAAGCGCCCCGCCUGGGGAGUACGGCCGCAAGGCUAAAACUCAAAGGAAUUGACGGGGGCCCGCACAAGCGGCGGAGCAUGUGGAUUAAUUCGAUGCAACGCGAAGAACCUUACCUGGGCUUGACAUACACCGGACCGGGCCAGAGAUGGUCUUUCCCUUUGUGGCUGGUGUACAGGUGGUGCAUGGUUGUCGUCAGCUCGUGUCGUGAGAUGUUGGGUUAAGUCCCGCAACGAGCGCAACCCUUGUCUUAUGUUGCCAGCAUUUGGUUGGGGACUCAUGAGAGACUGCCGGGGUUAACUCGGAGGAAGGUGGGGAUGACGUCAAAUCAUCAUGCCCCUUAUGUCCAGGGCUUCACACAUGCUACAAUGGUCGGUACAACGCGUUUGCGAGCUCGUGAGGGUGGGCUAAUCGCUGAAAGCCGGUCGUAGUUCGGAUUGGGGUCUGCAACUCGACCCCAUGAAGUCGGAGUCGCUAGUAAUCGCAGAUCAGCAACGCUGCGGUGAAUACGUUCCCGGGCCUUGUACACACCGCCCGUCACGUCAUGAAAGUUGGUAACACCCGAAGCCCAUGGCCCAAACUUGUUAGGGAGUGGUCGAAGGUGGGAUCGGCGAUUGGGACGAAGUCGUAACAAGGUAGCCGUACCGGAAGGUGCGGCUGGAUCACCUCCUUUCUAAGGAG